AAAGAGAGAAAAGAAGAAAAGGGAUUGGUGGCUGAUUUUCUCUUUCCUUCCUUCCUUUACAUUGGGGAGCUGCGCACUUGUCACGAAUGGAAGUCAUAGGACAACUUGGAGCUGGUUCUCUCUCUCUCUCUUCAUCAAAACAUGUAAUCGCUGGUAACUGAAACCGUGGGAAAUGAAAACAGAGAAGAAAUGGGGCUACCGCAUCAUCUCUAGCAGCAUUAAAGAAUAAAAAAAUAAAUAAAUAAACAAAACUGGUGAUGGCAAUCAAAA